AUCCAAACACACAAACCAUGAAAGAGGGAAGAGGCAGUGUCGGCACUGAGCUCUUUGGUUUCUGCAUCUGGCCAGUGUCCACCCGGAGAAAUGGUUUCCGCCAAAUACAAACAUCACAGCGAGUCCUCACCCGCCACACUCACUGAUCUGACACCACGUGAAGGAGCCUGGCUCUUGAGGCAAAACGACCACGAAAGGUCAACAUUACGAAUGUGCUCAGUCAUGACAGUGCAACUAAGACAAGGAGGAGAACGUCCACGACCGCUUUAGAAAGUGCCAACAAUGACAGCGUCAGUGUGCUCGAAGCAAGGGGCAGUAUUUUAAGAGGGCAUUGUGACAGUGUGUCUUUUACUUCAAUAACUUUCUGAUAUUUGAACAUUCACUGUGUUUUUGAUUAUGUCUCAUUUCACUUAAUCAUACUACUCUAGUCAAUAAUGGUUACAAGUAAAGCUCAAUUCUCUAACCAAAAAUAACUCUUCAAUACGGUAGGC
rnacentral:lncRNA from 1 species